CACGGCCCGAGUUAUUUCUGUUCUGAGAGAUAUGGAUGUCACGGACUGCUCCCUGCUGCGACAGAAGAAAAGAAACUGGACCUUGGUGGAAAGGCUUCUGGAAAGCAUUCAUCUCACGUGGAGAGCAGCAGGGCAUCAGGGAGUGUCCAGGCUUGGCUCAAUGGACAGCUCCAUCCUGCCAUUGAGAACCCAGGUCCUUCCCAUCUUCCUGCUCUGCGGUCCCCAGCAUGUUGGCCGUGACCCCUCACAGUGGGAGAUGGCUUCCUGCACCAACAGCACAGCCUUCGGUGGAAGACGAGGACACGUCUCUUCCUGUAUGUCUCUAUCAGCAAGGAAACCCUUCCUUGAAGACCCCAGCAGAUGUCCUCUUAUUCCUCACUGGCCAGACUCAAGCUGGGCUGUCAGGAGCAGACUGAAGGAAAAUGGGAAGAAACCAAGCUGAAGAUGGAAGGGAACCAGGAGACUUCUGAAGUCCAACACAUCAUAGUGGGAAGAGCAUGGAUUUUAGACUCAGCUGCC